rnacentral:rRNA from 1 species
UGGGGAAUAUUGCGCAAUGGGCGAAAGCCUGACGCAGCUACGCCGCGUGGGUGAUGAAGGCCUUCGGGUUGUAAAGCUCUGUCGGGAGGGACGAAGUUCUGACGGUACCUCCCAAGAAAGCACCGGCUAACUCCGUGCCAGCAGCCGCGGUAAUACGGAGGGUGCAAGCGUUGCUCGGAAUCAUUGGGCGUAAAGCGUACGCAGGCUGUUCGUUAAGUCGGGUGUGAAAUCCCGGGGCUCAACCCCGGAACUGCGCCCGAAACUGGCGGGCUUGAGUGCGGGAGAGGGAAGCGGAAUUCCUGGUGUAGAGGUGAAAUUCGUAGAUAUCAGGAGGAACACCGGUGGCGAAAGCGGCUUCCUGGCCCGACACUGACGCUCAUGUACGAAAGCGUGGGGAGCAAACAG